rnacentral:lncRNA from 1 species
UUGAGUCUUCUUAGCAGAAUGGAUCCUUGGUUUCUUCCUCAACGAAGACACAUGCUUCGCCAGCGAAGUCGUAGCUUCAUAUCUUGAAGACUUAACGUCAGUCUUCCUUUUUUAGGGGGGUCCAGCAGAACACUCCUCCUGCUCAGCCGGCAGGUCAUCAGAGUCUGGAUCAUUCUACUUCCAUCUCGCAACAUUCUGGGCAAGGGGCAGACCAACAACUUCUUCCGGAUACUCACUCAGCAGCAACCAGUGGCCACCGCCGCUCCAACCGUCUUCGACCACCAGUCAUGAAGUCAACCAUCCUAG